rnacentral:rRNA from 1 species
AUGCUGGAGCAAUGGAACAACAUUUUCCGAGCUAUUCGUGAGAUAGAAUUGAAUUCUUUCCCAGAUAAGGUUUUGUGGUCCCUGACAAAAAAUAAGCAGUUUGCUACCAAGUCCACAUAUAUGUGGCUUGAACGUGUGUUUUCUGGUGCUAAUAACAAAUGGCUUUGGAAAGCAAAGAUCCCUCUUAAAAUCAAAAUCUUUAUGUGUCAGUUAUUCCGUAAUGCUAUAUUAACUAGAGAUAACAUGAGAAAAAGAAAAUGGUUGGGAAACCCGACUUGCUCUUUCUGUGACUGUACUGAGACUGCUACUCAUAUUUUUUGGCUGUCAUAUGGCAAAAGCCGUGUGGGGCACUAUUGGUAA